AGAGUUUGAUCCUGGCUCAGAGCGAACGCUGGCGGCGUGCCUAACACAUGCAAGUCGAACGCGCGGGCGACCGUAGCAAUACGGCCGCCUGGCGCGUGGCGAACGGGUGAGUAACACGUGGGUAAUCUGCCCCUGGGUGGGGGAUAACCCGCCGAAAGGCGGGCUAAUACCGCAUAACACCCCGGUGACCACGGUCGCCGGGGUCAAAGCCGCAAGGCGCCCGGGGAGGAGCCCGCGGCCGAUCAGCUAGUUGGUGGGGUAAUGGCCCACCAAGGCGAUGACCGGUAGCUGGCCUGAGAGGGUGGCCGGCCACACUGGGACUGAGACACGGCCCAGACUCCUACGGGAGGCAGCAGUGGGGAAUCUUGCGCAAUGGGCGAAAGCCUGACGCAGCGACGCCGCGUGGGGGAUGAAGCCCUUCGGGGUGUAAACCCCUUUCGACCCGGACGAAUCCCCCGCAAGGGGGUUGACGGUACGGGUAGAAGAAGCCCCGGCUAACUACGUGCCAGCAGCCGCGGUAAAACGUAGGGGGCCAGCGUUGCUCGGAAUGACUGGGCGUAAAGGGUCCGUAGGCGGUGCGGCAAGUCGGAAGUGAAAUCCCGGGGCUCAACUCCGGGGCGGCUUCCGAAACUGCCGCGCUCGAGUGCGGGAGAGGGGAGUGGAAUUGCCGGUGUAGCGGUGAAAUGCGUAGAUAUCGGCAGGAACACCGGAGGCGAAGGCGGCUCCCUGGACCGCUACUGACGCUGAGGGACGAAAGCUGGGGGAGCAAACAGGAUUAGAUACCCUGGUAGUCCCAGCCCUAAACGAUCGGGACUAGGCGUGAGCCCCGUCCGGGGUUCGUGCCGCAGCUAACGCGUUAAGUCCCGCGCCUGGGGAGUACGGCCGCAAGGUUGAAACUCAAAGGAAUUGACGGGGGCCCGCACAAGCGGUGGAACAUGUGGUUCAAUUCGACGCAACGCG
rnacentral:rRNA from 1 species